CUACGGGAUGCUCCAGUGAGGAAUAUUGCACAAUGGGGGGAACCCUGAUGCAGCAACGCCGCGUGGAGGAUGACGCAUUUCGGUGUGUAAACUCCUUUUAUAUGUCAAGAAAAUGACGGUAGCAUAUGAAUAAGCACCGGCUAACUCCGUGCCAGCAGCCGCGGUAAUACGGAGGGUGCAAGCGUUACUCGGAAUCACUGGGCGUAAAGGACGCGUAGGCGGGUUGGAAAGUCAGGUGUGAAAUCCUACAGCUUAACUGUAGAACUGCACUUGAAACUUCUAAUCUAGAGGAUGGGAGGGGGAGAUGGAAUUAGUGGUGUAGGGGUAAAAUCCGUAGAUAUCACUAGGAAUACCUAAAGCGAAGGCGAUCUCCUGGAACAUUACUGACGCUAAGGCGUGAAAGCGUGGGGAGCAAACAGGAUUAGAUACCCGAGUAGUC
rnacentral:rRNA from 1 species